AUUGAAUUUUGGUUUCAGAAGGAAGAUUUAGGGACGAUUUCACGUGGGAUUUUGUAUUCAUCUUUUACGGUUUUUUCUUUGGUUGCUGCAUUGGUUGCUCGAUUUCUAGGGUCGAAAAAUGCUCUUAUUCUUGGGACUACUGACUAUUGGUUGUUCAUAGCAGUGAAUUUGAUACCAACAUGAUGGUUUUGGACAUACAAAUGUGGAUAUGAUUUUUUUUGAAAAGUACGGUAGGGCAAACAAAUGUGGAUAUGGUUUUGGACAUACAAAUGUGGAUAUGAUGGUUUUGGACAUACAAACUAAUGAUUUGUAUUAUAUAUAGAAAUGAAAUGAAUGGUUUUGGUUAGUCCUGUAUUAUGUAUGAAAUGAAAUUAUUGACGUUGGAUUAGACUUGGUUCGUAUGGAAUUUGUAUUAUAUAUAGAAUUGGACGUUCAAUAUUAAUGUUUUGGAUGGUUGGAACUAAAA